AAACAACAUUGAUAAGCACAUACUAAAUAUUAAAACAUUUGACUCAGUUAAAUCAGCAAUAAAAACAUGUCUGUAUUUGAAAAGUGUAUUUUUGAGACCAGAAUUAACCCAAAUCUGAUAUCAGAUACAUAUUGAUGAAGCAAGAACUUAAUAAUAAAAUAUCAAGUAUAAAGAACAUAAUCUAAAGGAUUCCAUUCAAAUCUUAAAUAAACUGAUUUGCAUCAGCAGCUCCAUGCUCCAGCGCUCUGGGAGAGUUUAUAGUCCUGACAGUUGAACUCUGGAUGACUGACAGCUGUCCUUCAUCACAACAGAAGACACAGAAAUCCUCCUCAUCAAAAACAUGACUUUGAUCUGCGUCCUCAUCUGGACUCUCCUCUGCUUCACUCAGGGAUCUGAUGGACAAAAUGUUGUUGUGACUCAACCAGCAGCCAAAUCAGUGCAGCUUGGUCAGACUGUCACUAUUGACUGUAAGGCCAGUCAGGCACUUUCAACAUCUCAAUGCAGCAGCAAUUCACAGGUCUGUCUGUCCUGGUACCAUCAGAAACCGAGAGAAGCUCCUAAACCUCUGAUAUAUGGAAUAUCAACCAGAUCUUCAGGAAUCUCCUCCAGAUUCAGUGGAAGUUCAGCAGGAAAUGGAUUAGACUUCACUCUGACCAUCAGUGGAGUUCAGGCUGAAGAUGCAGGAGUUUAUUACUGUCAGAGUUAUCAUUACAUCAACAGUCAGUACGUGUUCACACAGUAAAAAAUCAUCGUACAAAAACCUCCCUCAGUCUGACUGAACAGAAACUGAAUUAUAAAGAUGGAAGCAGCUGCACAGACUGAAACAGUUCACUGAACACCCACAUGAGGUCCACAAAAUAUAUCUCUAUUAAACACAACAACACAAUCAGUGACAGGAUAAAUUCCUGCUACGAUCCUCUAAAAUAUUAAAAAGUUAAAUAAGAUUAAAACAAUGUUUAGUCAGAGUUUUAUAAGUGUUGGUCUGAGAUUACUUAAAGCAAACCAUGGUCAGCACAAAUGGGCUGAUUGUUUUACUUUUUUGCCAAAUCAUUGAAAAUUAAUCAUAUCAAGCAAUCAGUUCAGAAAAAUUAGGAAGAUUGUUGUUAAAAUGAUGACAAAAUAUUUCAAUACAAAAUAAAAGUUUUCAGUCAGAAACUUUAUCAAGAUGAUCAGAGGAUGAAUUACAACAGGGUAGAUAUUUUUUUUAAAAUCAAUAGUUACUCUUUUGAAAUGCCACUACAAAUU